rnacentral:rRNA from 1 species
GACGAACGCUGGCGGCGUGCUUAACACAUGCAAGCCGAACGCUGAAGACCUGGCUUUUGUUGGGUUGGAUGAGUGGCGAACGGGUGAGUAACACGUGAGUAACCUGCCCUCUUCUUUGGGAUAACGCCCGGAAACGGGUGCUAAUACUGGAUAUUCACUGAUCUUCGCAUGGGGGUUGGUGGAAAGGUUUGUUCUGGUGGGGGAUGGGCUCGCGGCCUAUCAGCUUGUUGGUGGGGUGAUGGCCUACCAAGGCUUUGACGGGUAGCCGGCCUGAGAGGGUGACCGGUCACAUUGGGACUGAGAUACGGCCCAGACUCCUACGGGAGGCAGCAGUGGGGAAUAUUGCACAAUGGGCGAAAGCCUGAUGCAGCGACGCCGCGUGAGGGAUGGAGGCCUUCGGGUUGUAAACCUCUUUCGCUCAUGGUCAAGCCGCAACUGUGGGUUGUGGUGAGGGUAGUGGGUAAAGAAGCGCCGGCUAACUACGUG